rnacentral:rRNA from 1 species
UACGAAGGGGGCUAGCGUUGCUCGGAAUUACUGGGCGUAAAGGGCUCGUAGGCGGCACUGUAAGUCAGGGGUGAAAUCCCGGGGCUCAACCCCGGAACUGCCCUUGAAACUGGAGAGCUAGAAUCUUGGAGAGGCGAGUGGAAUUCCGAGUGUAGAGGUGAAAUUCGUAGAUAUUCGGAAGAACACCAGUGGCGAAGGCGACUCGCUGGACAAGUAUUGACGCUGAGGUGCGAAAGCGUGGGGAGCAAACAGG